rnacentral:lncRNA from 1 species
AGAUGCCAGCAAGUGCACUGUCACUGAAUGUUGCGCACAGCUGCUCUUUUCUGCUCCGCGCUGCACGUGCUCAUGAAGGCACUGGCGAGGUGGUUUCCUUCCAAUUGAAGCAGGACCAGUACGUCUGCCAGCUCCAGAUAGAGCUCCCGUGACCAGGAAGACCUCAGCAUUCGCCAAUUCCUGCUGAAUUACCGCAAACAGAAAGAACUGACAGAGGGCAUUGGAAUAGAGGAUGAUUAUAACACUGAAGACCGAGGUACGGACGUGCUGGAGUUGUGCCUUCAGGUGCUGAGUGAGAGGGAAAAUGAACUGCUGCCUAUGGCUCAUCGCUGCUGGCCAGCACUCCUGCAGACACUCACAGCCGAUGACCCAUUAGCAGUCCUCAGAGCCUUCAGGGUAAGUAAAACAAACCUCUCUUUUCAUUACGUGAGUCAAAAUUAUUCAAGUCGUCUUUAGUUUUAAACUCUUAGUAGUGAAAGAAUGAAAGAUGGUGCCCAACAACAGUCUUAUUUCAUUCAGAAAUAGUUCUAUUAUUUUCUUCUUUGGGUUGUAAUGUGAAGACUCUUUAAACUAA